UACGGAGGGUACGAGCGUUAAUCGGAAUGACUGGGCGUAAAGUGAGCGCAGGCGGUCUGAUCAGUCGGAUGUGAAAGCCCCGGGCUUAACCUGGGAAUUGCAUUCGAUACUGUCAGACUAGAGUAUGGGAGAGGGAAGUGGAAUUUCUAGUGUAGCGGUGAAAUGCGUAGAUAUUAGAAGGAACACCAGUGGCGAAGGCGGCUUCCUGGCCCAAUACUGACGCUCAGGCUCGAAAGCGUGGGGAGCGAACAGG
rnacentral:rRNA from 1 species